GGUGUGUCACCUUGCAGACAAGCCCCUAUCAGUAUUGCCUCUGCUUUCACUAGAGUUAACAGAGUAGUGCAAUAUUGCUUAUAGGGUCUUGGCUUUGAGGGAUG
rnacentral:pre_miRNA from 1 species